CAGUCGUACGCUUCUUUUUCACCGGAGCUUGCUCCACCGGAAAAAGAAGAGUGGCGAACGGGUGAGUAACACGUGGGUAACCUGCCCAUCAGAAGGGGAUAACACUUGGAAACAGGUGCUAAUACCGUAUAACAAUCGAAACCGCAUGGUUUUGAUUUGAAAGGCGCUUUCGGGUGUCGCUGAUGGAUGGACCCGCGGUGCAUUAGCUAGUUGGUGAGGUAACGGCUCACCAAGGCCACGAUGCAUAGCCGACCUGAGAGGGUGAUCGGCCACAUUGGGACUGAGACACGGCCCAAACUCCUACGGGAGGCAGCAGUAGGGAAUCUUCGGCAAUGGACGAAAGUCUGACCGAGCAACGCCGCGUGAGUGAAGAAGGUUUUCGGAUCGUAAAACUCUGUUGUUAGAGAAGAACAAGGAUGAGAGUAACUGUUCAUCCCUUGACGGUAUCUAACCAGAAAGCCACGGCUAACUACGUGCCAGCAGCCGCGGUAAUACGUAGGUGGCAAGCGUUGUCCGGAUUUAUUGGGCGUAAAGCGAGCGCAGGCGGUUUCUUAAGUCUGAUGUGAAAGCCCCCGGCUCAACCGGGGAGGGUCAUUGGAAACUGGGAGACUUGAGUGCAGAAGAGGAGAGUGGAAUUCCAUGUGUAGCGGUGAAAUGCGUAGAUAUAUGGAGGAACACCAGUGGCGAAGGCGGCUCUCUGGUCUGUAACUGACGCUGAGGCUCGAAAGCGUGGGGAGCAAACAGGAUUAGAUACCCUGGUAGUCCACGCCGUAAACGAUGAGUGCUAAGUGUUGGAGGGUUUCCGCCCUUCAGUGCUGCAGCUAACGCAUUAAGCACUCCGCCUGGGGAGUACGACCGCAAGGUUGAAACUCAAAGGAAUUGACGGGGGCCCGCACAAGCGGUGGAGCAUGUGGUUUAAUUCGAAGCAACGCGAAGAACCUUACCAGGUCUUGACAUCCUUUGACCACUCUAGAGAUAGAGCUUCCCCUUCGGGGGCAAAGUGACAGGUGGUGCAUGGUUGUCGUCAGCUCGUGUCGUGAGAUGUUGGGUUAAGUCCCGCAACGAGCGCAACCCUUAUUGUUAGUUGCCAUCAUUCAGUUGGGCACUCU
rnacentral:rRNA from 1 species